AACGUAGGACGCAAGCGUUAUCCGGAAUUACUGGGCGUAAAGCGCGUGUAGGCGGUAACAUAAGUCACUGUUGAAAGCUCCCGGCUAAACUGGGAGAGGUGCGGUGAGACUGUGUAACUGGAGUAAGGAAGAGGGGUGCAGAAUUCCGGGUGUAGUGGUGAAAUGCGUAGAUAUCCGGAGGAAUACCAGAGGCGAAGGCGGCACCCUGGUCCAUUACUGACGCUGAGACGCGAAAGCAUGGGUAGCAAACGGG
rnacentral:rRNA from 1 species